rnacentral:tRNA from 1 species
GCCUAGGUGGCUCAGUCGCUUAAGCAUCUGACUUCGGCUCAGAUCAUGAUCCUGCAGUUUGUGAGUUCAAGCCCUACCUUACGCU